UACGAAGGGGGCUAGCGUUGCUCGGAAUCACUGGGCGUAAAGCGCACGUAGGCGGAUUGUUAAGUCGGGGGUGAAAUCCUGGAGCUCAACUCCAGAACUGCCUUCGAUACUGGCGAUCUUGAGUCCGGGAGAGGUGAGUGGAACUCCGAGUGUAGAGGUGAAAUUCGUAGAUAUUCGGAAGAACACCAGUGGCGAAGGCGGCUCACUGGCCCGGUACUGACGCUGAGGUGCGAAAGCGUGGGGAGCAGACAGG
rnacentral:rRNA from 1 species